GUGGCCUAUACGUUAAAUUUCAUUUUAAUUAGUUAAAUCAAUGUCGACGUUAUCGAUUGAUUUUAAUAUUAUUUCGACGAGAUUUAAUGUGACUUUUUGACGAAAAUAAGAUUUAAUAAAAUAUAAAUGUUGUGCGAAUAAUCGCAUACAGAGAUAAAAUAUUCCAAGCACUUAAGUUGCGCCAGUUUCUAAAAUCAAACUCUUCUCCAACCCAUACCAAUCUUCAAAAAAAGAAAACGAACUUUCGCAUAUACCCAACACACAAUUUCCAAUCGCCAAGACACAAACGACACUUUGGGGCCGGUACUCUGGCAAGAACGUGGGCGGUAUGGCGGUGCAGGCCCAGGAGUAAAUAAAUGAAUUAGUAAAUAACGAAUUUUAUCCCGGCGGCAUGUUGGCCCAGGAAUCCGAUAAGCUGGCAACUUCUCGAACGAGAGGGAAUAGGGGAUACGGUAUAAAAAAGUACGCGUUAUUGCGUACCUGUCCGUCCAAUAUGGCGGCUGGUGGGACCCAGAAAAGGGAGGGGGAGGGCCAGAGCCCAAAGGAUUAUCGACUCUCUUUCUCGAGGGGAGAAGGAAUUAAAAAGGAAAAAAGAAGAAAUGGGAGAAGAAUUCCUUAUGGAGAGAAUGGGUCCAGAGUUGGCGAAACGUAUGGCGGAGCUGGGAGAAGGAAGGGAAUGAGGUGAUGAGGAGUGUACCAUCGAAGGGAGGAUGGAAAAGGUUAGAUGCAAGAUCCUUUUUUUUUCUUUUUUCCAGCUCGAAUCUGAUAAGUUUAGAACUUUGUUGAGGAUUUAUCGAUGCUUGGAUGUUUCAAAUUAUCUUAUAUAUUGAGAAUAUAGAAGUAUGCAAUAAUGUUGAAAUUGGUUAUAAAGAAGAUACAGUUGCAGUUCUUCUCCUGUUAUUGCAGGCAAUUGUAAUAAUUUUCUCCUGUAAGUAUAG